CCCGCUGAGUUUAAGCAUAUCAA
rnacentral:rRNA from 1 species